CCUGCACACUUAAAACAAAACUUCGAUCGAGACAAUUAAUCCUAAGCAAUUAAUCAAGUUGUCCGGCAUGUCAUUGGUCCCUCGACGCUUCGUCCGAUUCUUCGGCGCAUCAUCCUUUCCUACAACCUAUUGCCCAAUUGGCCAGUUGACUCCGCAACUCCGAUAUCCUUGGCACAAUACCCGCUCUUCUUGGCCCGAUGCCCG
rnacentral:lncRNA from 1 species